rnacentral:rRNA from 1 species
UACGGAGGGUGCGAGCGUUGUCCGGAAUCAUUGGGCGUAAAGGGCGCGUAGGUGGCUUCUUAAGCGUGUGGUGAAAGCCUGGGGCUCAACCCCGGGUCGGCCGUGCGAACUGGGGGGCUGGAGCACUGUAGAGGCAGGCGGAAUUCCGGGUGUAGCGGUGGAAUGCGUAGAGAUCCGGAAGAACACCGGUGGCGAAGGCGGCCUGCUGGGCAGUUGCUGACACUGAGGCGCGACAGCGUGGGGAGCAAACAGG